UUCACCUCUCUCUCCCUCUUGCCCACACAAGAUAAACGUUCUCGAAAGGUAACUAAUGACAGAGAGGACGACUAAACGUAUGGCUGAGAGAUAAAGAUAAAGAGAGAUGCUCCGUAAUGUGAAAGCGCCGAGCGACUAAGUAAGAGGAAGAACUAUAAGAGUGAGAGAGACUACAGCAGAGAGGGCGAGAGCUUAUACAAGAAGCUGCUACUUAGGGGAGCCCCGUUUAGUUGUUGUGGGUGUGUUGCCCUUCCGCUAGUCAACAUCCCUUUUUGCAGUGGCGAUGCAGUGAUGGAUUUCACGAACGCAUUCGACUUGGUUGGGUUCUCCGGCGCAUUCAUCGUCAAAGGUUCAAUGAAUCUUUCUGGGACUCUCAGACUGAAACCACUAAACACUGAUCGAUUAAUUAACGAAUUUUACACAAUCAAAUCUUCAACAAAUAUAUUCACAUAAAGAAAUUGUGUUCGA